rnacentral:rRNA from 1 species
UACGUAGGGUGCAAGCGUUAAUCGGAAUUACUGGGCGUAAAGCGUGCGCAGGCGGUUCGUUGUGUCGGUGGUGAAAGCCCCGGGCUUAACCUGGGAAUGGCCAUGGAAACUGGCGAACUGGAGUGUGGCAGAGGGGGGGUGGAAUUCCGCGUGUAGCAGUGAAAUGCGUAGAUAUCGUGAGGAACACCAGAGGCGAAGGCGGCUACCUGGACAAUUGCUGACGCUCAGGCACGAAAGCGUGGGGGAGCAAAAAGGG